GUUCAACAGAACUUACUAUUUUUUUCUUAUUAGGUUUAUGUUCCUUUUGCAUCAUGAUAACUGGAUGUUUAUUAUCUAUUUAUUAAACCGAAAACCUUGGAUUUUUGCGUCUAAGUUGUUCAGAACUACUAUCGGGUAGAAAAUUAAACUUGCGUAAUGAUGUGAAAAAUUAUUCGCUUGGGUUUAUAACUGUUUUCGAGCUAUAAAUAUUUUACUAUUUGGUAGGCAAAGAGGUCUACCAAAAAAUUAUAUUAGUCUUUCACUUUUAUUUUAAUAGAGUUAAAAUUACUCAUUUGUUAUAAAUGUUUUACAACUUUGUUUUUAGGGGUGUGUUAAUUAAUAUUGUUAGCUUGACAAUUAAAUUAAUAAAUUUGUUAAUCAGUUAAUUAGUAAUAUUAAUAUCUUUCUUAUUUCUCAAUAACAGCCCGUCUGUUUAUUAAAAACAUUUCCAUGAUAUAUUAAUUCAUGGUAGGGCCUGCUCUAUGUCUAUUGAUAAAUGGCCGCAGUAUAUUGACUGUGCUAAGGUAGCAUAAUUAAUUGCCUCUUAAUUAGAGGCUUGUUUGAAUGGCUUGACGGGGUUGUAUAUAAUAUUAAAGAUUUAUUUGAAUUUAAUUGUAAGGGCACAGAAUCCUUUAAUUUUAAUAAGACAGAAAGACCCCAGGAUCUUUUCUUUUUGCCUGGGGCAGGUAAUAUUUUUUCAAUAAUGUUAUGACCCAUUUAUUGUGUUCAAAGAUUUAAGUUACCCUGGGGAUAACAGUGUAAUUACUUAUUAGAGGCCUUAUCGAAUAAGUUGUUUGCUACCUCGAUGUUGACUUAGGUUAUUAAACAAGCGCAGUAGUUUGUUUAUUAAGGUCUGUUCGACCUGUAAAACCUCCAUGAGUUGAGUUAAGACCGGCGUGAGCCAGGUCGGUUCUUAUCUAUU
rnacentral:rRNA from 1 species